GAUGAACGCUGGCGGCGUGCCUAAUACAUGCAAGUCGAGCGAACAGACGAGGAGCUUGCUCCUUUGACGUUAGCGGCGGACGGGUGAGUAACAGGUAGGUAACCGACCUAUAAGGCUGGGAUAACUUCGGGAAACCGGAGCUAGUACCGGAUAAUAUUUUGAACCGGAGGGUUCUAUAGUGAAAGCGGGCUUGGCUCUCCCUUAUAGAUGGACCUGCGCCGUAUUAGCUAGUUGGUAAGGUAACGGCUUACCAAGGCAACGAUCCGUAGCCGACCUGAGAGGGUGAUCGGCCACACUGGAACUGAGACACGGUCCAGACUCCUACGGGAGGCAGCAGUAGGGAAUCUUCCGCAAUGGGCGCAAGCCUGACGGAGCAACGCCGCGUGAGUGAUGAAGGUCUUCGGAUCGUAAAACUCUGUUAUUAGGGACGAAAAAACGUGUAAGUAACUGUGCACGUCUUGACGGUACCUUAUCAGAAAGCAACGGCUAACUACGUG
rnacentral:rRNA from 1 species